CCGCAGCUAACUCAAGAGCUGCGGACUUUUAAUCCGUAGGUUCAGGGUUCGAACCCCUGGCGGCCCA
rnacentral:tRNA from 1 species